rnacentral:rRNA from 1 species
CCGAGUAGUGUGGAUGUUUAUUGGGCCUAAAGCAUCCGUAGCUGGUUCGAUAAGUCCCCUGUUAAAUCCAACGAUUCAAUCGUUGGACUGCGGGGGAUACUGUUGGGCUAGGGGACGGAAGAAGUCGACGGUACUUCCGGAGUAGGGGUGAAAUCCUAUAAUUCCGGGAGGACCACCAGUGGCGAAGGCUGUCGGC